rnacentral:rRNA from 1 species
CCUACGGGUGGCAGCAGUGAGGAAUAUUGGUCAAUGGACGCAAGUCUGAACCAGCCAUGCCGCGUGCAGGAAGACGGCCCUAUGAGUUGUAAACUGCUUUUGUACGAGGGUAAACGCAGAUACGUGUAUCUGUCUGAAAGUAUCGUACGAAUAAGGAUCGGCUAACUCCGUGCCAGCAGCCGCGGUAAUACGGAGGAUUCAAGCGUUAUCCGGAUUUAUUGGGUUUAAAGGGUGCGUAGGCGGUCGGAUAAGUUAGAGGGGAAAUCCCGGGGCUCAACUUCGGAAUUGCCUCUGAUACUGUUCGGCUAGAGAGUAGUUGCGGUAGGCGGAAUGUAUGGUGUAGCGGUGAAAUGCUUAGAGAUCACACAGAACACCGAUUGCGAAGGCAGCUUACCAAGCUACUUCUGACGUUGAGGCACGAAAGCGUGGGGAUCGAACAGGAUUAGAUACCCGGGUAGUC